AGGAAGCAGAAAGCAAAAAUUUUUGAAAGGAACCCUAAGAAUCAUUCUUUUUGUCACUUCUAGAGCUUUUGGAAGAACCCCAUUGACAAUCAUGAAUGGAACGAAACGUUUCGGCGCAUCCGACUCGAUCCCCGACGCGAACGAGACUGCCAAUAUAUAAAUUUCUGUUCAGGUGACUUUGGCGCGAUAAUUUCGAUCAAGUUUGAACCUGUUUACUAAAUAUUCAGGAAUAAAAGAUUAAUGGCAGGAUCUACCUUUUAUGUACCCAGGGCUGAAUCGCCUCAGCGGUUGGCAGCAACAGCUCCGUUGGAUAUGCAACGGGCUAACUCAUCUUGGCAGCAUGUGAGAGCUCUCAAUACCCAGUUUGCAAGUUGGGUGCAAGAACAAAUGAGGAACCAUCCGGAUGAACUUUGGGAAGAUGGUGUCCGGGACUACCUAACUCAUGCCUCAAACAUUAUGGAGAAUUUCAGUGAUGUUGUCAAGUGGCUCAAAGCUAACACAGCGGAAGGAAAUAGCUUGUUCACUGUAGAAUCUCAAAAUAGUGAAAAUAAAGUGGUGUUUGAAACCAACAAUGGGGACAUAAAUUUAUCUCAAGAGAAAACUGGGUUUAUUCCAUCAGGCACCACUACAAGCUUUGCAACAUCAUGGAGUUCUGGAGUAUUCUCAAGUGGUCAAACCUCUGGGUUUACAUCAGUAAGCACAACAGUGCCUGUCUCAAGUUCCCUGAGCUCUGGAGUAUUUUCAAACAGUCAAAAUCCUGGAUCUACUCCAACAGGCACAGCUACAAACUUUGCAAAUUCAUUUAGUUCGAAAACAUUUUCAAACAGUCAAGCCCAUGGAUGUAAUCCAGCAGACACAACCACAACCUUUGCAACUUCAUCGAGCUCUCAAGUAUUUUCAAACAGUCAAACCCCUGGGUUUACACCAGCUGUUACAACUACAAGCUUUAUGAAUUCAUGGAGCUCUGGAGGAUUCCCAAACAUUCAAAAGCCUGUUUCAUUUGGUGGGAAUCAAAGUUCAGUCAGCAUUGCUCAAAGUUCCAUUCCAACUAACCGUGACGCUUCAGAUGACGUGGAUGGUGAAAAUGAAGUGGAGCAACCUAGCAGUCCAUCUGUUAAAAAGUCUGAAGAGAAGGGUAUAGUUGUAGUUCAUGAAGUCAAGUGCAAGCUUUAUGUGAAGUCAAGUGAUCCAGCAGAUAAAGAUGCAUGGAAAGAUAAAGGCCCGGGGAAGCUUUCCAUUAAAUGCAAAGAGGGUAUCGACAAGGGUACAAAAGAAUCUAAACCAACGAUUGUUGUUAGAAAUGAUGUUGGGAGACUGCUGCUUAAUGCAUUGAUAUAUCCUGGCAUCAAGACAAAUUUACAGAAGAACUCCCUUGUUGCAAUAUUCCAUACUUCGGGUGAUGGUGGUGAUGGAAAUAAUGGUAGUAACAACAAUAAUGUUGUGGCACGCACCUUCUUAAUUAGGACAAAAACAGAGGAAGAUCGAAAUAAGCUGGCCACAGCCAUUCAAGACUAUGCUCCACCAUCUUGAAAAUAACUAUAAGCAAUGGCUUAUUGUAUUACAUCGAGCUUCAAAGAUGUAACGAUGUUGCAGCUGGGGUUCAUGGCCAGAUGGAGUACGAAUUGCUGACAUGGUAUUUAUUGAGAGUUUGACCAAAUGGAGAGAACAUAAUAGCAAUGAAGAAAAGAAAGAUGAUGCUGAGGUUGAUACUCCAAUGAAGUACAACUGAUCUGUAUGAAGCGUCUUAGGUCACAAAGGUAGGAAAGAAAUGAAUGCCCAGAUGAAUUCAGUAGCUUUUGCUUAUAUAUAUUAAUAGGCAUCCUUAUUAAAUAGUCUUUAGGAUUAUAAAUACUAGAAUCAGGAUUUAAGCACUAGUACAUAAGAAUAUUUGCUCAUAAAUGAGAAAACUAAAGAAAAUUUCAAUCCUAAAUCCUAAAAACCAAUUCUUAAGAGGCAA